GAGGGUACAGCUCAGUGGUAGAGUGCAUGCUUAGCAUGCAUGAGGUCCUGGGUUCAAUCCCCAGUACCUCCA
rnacentral:tRNA from 1 species